CACGGCCAUUGCUGCUACUACACCCUCCCUUCACAUUAUUGCUGUGUGUGGUGUUUUUCUUUCAACGAUGAAUUAAGAUGCAGAAUUUAGCAGGCGCUAUUGACAAAGAUCAGUGGGAAAAAGUUGAGAUGGACUACUUUCUGUACACGGUCAGUGUGAACCGGGGUGCCUUGACACAACAACUGGCCAAGCAAGCUGUAGCUAGCUACAAACCAAACGUAAAAGACACGCUGCCUUGAAGUGUUCACCCAUGUAUACGGGUCCACAGACGACGCAAUCGCAACCACACUGCACACUGCCCUAACCCAUCUGGACAAGAGGAAUACCUAUGUAAGAAUGCUGUUCAUCGAUUACAGCUCAGCAUUUAACACCAUAGUACCCUCCAAACUCGUCAUUAAGCUUGAGACCCUGGGUCUCGACCCCGUCCUGUGCAACUGAGUCCUGGACUUCCUGACGGGCCACCCCAGGUGGUGAGGGUAAGAAACAACAUCUCCACCCCGCUGAUCCUCAACACUGGGGACACACUAGGGU
rnacentral:lncRNA from 1 species